ACCUUAAGCCAUGCGAGUCGAGAGGGUUCGGCCCUCGGCGCACCGCUCAGUAACACGUGGAUAACCUACCCUGGAGUGGGGGAUAAUCUCGGAAACCUGAGGAUAAUACCCCAUAGGCCUUUGGUACUGGAAUGUUCUUAGGCCCAAAGUUACGGCGCUCCAGGAUGGGUCUGCGGCCUAUCAGGUAGUAGUGAGUGUAAAGGACUCACUAGCCGACAACGGGUACGGGCCAUGGGAGUGGUAGCCCGGAGAUGGAUUCUGAGACACGAAUCCAGGCCCUACGGGGCGCAGCAGGCGCGAAAACUUCGCAAUGCGCGAAAGCGCGACGAGGGGAUUCCAAGUGCAUGCACUUAGUGCAUGCUGUUUGCUAGUCCAAAUAGCUAGUAGAGUAAGGGCUGGGUAAGACUGGUGCCAGCCACCGCGGUAAUACCAGCGGCCCGAGUGGUGAUCGUUAUUAUUGGGUCUAAAGCGUCCGUAGCCGGCCCGGUAAAUCUCUGGGUAAAUCGUUGGGCUCAACCCAGCGAAUUCUAGGGAGACUGCCGGGCUUGGGACCGGGAGAGGUCGGAGGUACUCCGAGGGUAGGGGUGAAAUCCUGUAAUCCUUGGGGGACCACCGGUGGCGAAGGCGUCCGACCAGAACGGGUCCGACGGUAAGGGACGAAGCCCUGGGGCGCGAACCGGAUUAGAUACCCGGGUAGUCCAGGGUGUAAACGCUGUGCGCUUGGUGUUGGGGGUCCUUUGAGGGCAUCCAGUGCCGGAGAGAAGUUGUUAAGCGCACCACCUGGGGAGUACGGUCGCAAGACUGAAACUUAAAGGAAUUGGCGGGGGAGCACCGCAACGGGAGGAGCGUGCGGKUUAAUUGGAUUCAACGCCGUAAAACUCACCAGGGGCGACUGCCAUAUGAAGGCCAAGCUGAUGACUUUGCCUGAUUGGUAGAGAGGAGGUGCAUGGCC
rnacentral:rRNA from 1 species